rfam:Chaetura pelagica isolate M959 contig50895, whole genome shotgun sequence.
ACAAAGGCUCUUUUCAGAGCCACCCACUCCAUCACUAAAGAGCUG